GAUAACGAGUUUCUGGCCCCCAAGCAUUGACAGCGACGUGGCUUUUUGAUCCUUCGAUAUCGGCUUUUCCUAUCAUUGUGAAGCAAAAUCAACAAGCGUUUUAUGGCUCAACAACUAAUAGAGAACGCUAGCUGGGCUAAAGCCGUCGUGAGCCAGGUA
rnacentral:ncRNA from 1 species